rnacentral:rRNA from 1 species
AUUGAACGCUGGCGGCAUGCUUUACACAUGCAAGUCGAACGGUAACAGGGUGCUUGCACCGCUGACGAGUGGCGAACGGGUGAGUAAUGCGUCGGAACGUGCCGAGUAGUGGGGGAUAACGCAGCGAAAGUUGUGCUAAUACCGCAUACGUACUGAGGUAGAAAGUGGGGGACCUUCGGGCCUCACGCUAUUCGAGCGGCCGACGUCUGAUUAGCUAGUAGGUAAGGUAAAGGCUCACCUAGGCGACGAUCAGUAGCGGGUCUGAGAGGAUGGUCCGCCACACUGGGGCUGAGACACGGCCCAGACUCCUACGGGAGGCAGCAGUGGGGAAUUUUGGACAAUGGGCGAAAGCCUGAUCCAGCCAUGCCGCGUGUCUGAAGAAGGCCUUCGGGUUGUAAAGGACUUUUGUCAGGGAGGAAAUCCCUAGCGUUAAUACCGCUGGGGGAUGACAGUACCUGAAGAAUAAGCACCGGCUAACUACGUGCCAGCCGCCGCCGUAAAAC